GAAGGUGAGAUGUGUUUUCAGGGUGUUCCUAAACUAUGGACUUGGACAGUCCAUUUUGGACUACUAAACUAUGGACUUCGAUCGAAAACUAUGGACUUCACCAGAUGGCGCUGCCUGUCAAAGUCCAUAUUUUAGAACCUGAACGCUCCACCAAUGGCCCUACUAAACUAUGGACUUUUCCUGAAAAGUAUGGACUUUAUCCAAAUUCAACAUAAAACAUAAACUACGAAUCGUUCUAUCAUUUUUUUGUUUGAUAUAUUUAACGUCCGUUCAAUAAACUACAAGAAGCCACGAGCUUUCUAGAGCUGGCGGGACACUUACUUUUUUAAAGCCAAAAUUUGUUUGGUUCAUAGUUUUUUAUUAUAAUAAUAGUAUCAAAUGCCAGAACACUGCUUGGUAGAAUUCCGUCGGCGGUAGGAUAUAUUUUUGUAAAAUAUUCUAUUUUUUUUUUUAAUUUCUUCUAAAGUAUUAUUUUUUAUUAAUUCGCUGUCUUGCUUUAUCCGAUCUAUAAAACGGUUUAAAUACAAGAUGUUUUUCCGUG